GCGUCCUGCUCGUGAUCGUCUUCUCAACCUUCACCGGCAGGCGGUAUGAGGAAGGCCCCCGCGAGGACGUGACUCGCGGGGGCCUUCU
rnacentral:ncRNA from 1 species